rnacentral:rRNA from 1 species
UACGAGAGGCCCAAACGUUAUUCGGAAUUACUGGGCUUAAAGAGCUCGUAGGCGGCUUAGUAAGUCGGGUGUGAAACCUCCAGGCUCAACCUGGAGACGCCACCCGAUACUGCUGUGGCUAGAGUCCGGUAGGGGAGCGUGGAAUUCCUGGUGUAGCGGUGAAAUGCGCAGAUAUCAGGAGGAACACCAGCGGCGAAGGCGGCGCUCUGGGCCGGUACUGACGCUGAGGAGCGAAAGCGUGGGGAGCAAACAGG